GGGAUAUGCAGUGUGCUUUGCAAUUGAUUUGCAGUGGUUUUGCAGUCAUUUUGCAAUAGAUUUGCAGCGUGCUUUGCACGGUGCAUUGCAUGGUGCUGUGCAUGGUGCUGUGCAGCAGGUUUUGCAGUGUGCUUUGCAAUUGAUUUGCAAUGGUUUUGCAGUGUGCUUUGCAGUGGGUUUUGCAAUGGAUUUGCAAUAGAUUUGCAGUGGUUUAGCAUGGUGCAUUGCAUGGUGCUGUGCAGCAGGUUUUGCAGUGUAUUUUGCAAUUGAUUUGCAGCGUGCUUUGCAAUUGAUUUGCAAUGGUUUUGCAGUCAUUUUGCAAUAGAUUUGCUGUGUGUUUGCAUGGUGCAUUGCACGGUGCUGUGCAUGGUGCUGUGCAUGUUUUGCAGCGUGCUUUGCAAUUGAUUUGCAAUGGUUUUGCAGUCGUUUUGCAAUGGAUUUGCAGCACACUUUGCACGGUGCAUUGCGUGGUGCAUUGCAUGGUGCUGUGCAUGUUUUGCAGUGUGCUUUGCAAUGGGUUUUGCAAUGGGUUUGCAAUAGAUUUGCAGUGGUUUAGCAUGGUGCAUUGCACGGUGCUGUACAGCAGGUUUUGCAGUGUGCUUUGCAAUUGAUUUGCAAUGGUUUUGCAGUCGUUUUGCAAUGGAUUUGCAGCACGCUUUGCACGGUGCAUUGCGUGGUGCAUUGCAUGGUGCUGUGCAGCAGGUUUUUGCAGCGUGCUUUGCAAUGGAUUUGCAAUGGUUUUGCAGUGUAUUUUGCAAUUGAUUUGCAAUGGUUUUGCAGUCAUUUUGCAAUGGAUUUGCAGCACGCUUUGCACGGUGCAUUGCAGGUUGCAGCGCAUCCUCACCCAUGACGCCGGGGUUCUUCAUGAGCAGCACGAAGCCGUAGCGCAGCGUGGAGCUGAUGGUUUCGGUGCCGG